CAGUUCCUCCUUCUUUCCUCUUUCUUUUCGGGUCUUCAACGAGGAGAGGCGACGUGAGAGAGAGGAUCUCGAGCCAACAGGAAAUGGCAGCUUUACAUCCCCUCGAUGACCGUGGACGUCUGCACAUCAGACAGGUUUUGGGAAACGUCAAACGUGCAGACGCAUGCCAUGGAAGUCAGAGCAUCACAUGCAGGUGAAAGCCAUGGCUAACCCAAGUCACUGGAUGAAGACCGCUCAUGUUCAGGCUUCAAACUGUCGGCGAUCUCAGGCUGGCACCACUGGACUACAUGGCCACUUGCACGAUCGUCAUUGAAGGUCCCCAGCCACUUUGGGGAAACUGUAUCUCCAAGAACUGAAAGCUGUGUAGGGACCUGUGGCAAGACUGCACCUCCCUGACUGGCCUGUAAACGAUGACUGUAGAUGGAUGGCUGUGGAGUAAUGGCAGCUAUAGGGGGGUGUGAAAUCAUGAGAUCUGUAAAAGGUGAAUUUUCAUGUCUCAGCUGAUUCUGUCACAUUUGACUAAUAAAACAGACUGAUUAACUGUU